ACUCCAAAGCACUUUUUAUGUUUUGGACAUCUUUAGCCUUUCCAAAGGAUACUCCUUCGACAAAUAGUUAAUCAUGGACGAAGUACAACUCUCGGAUUUCGAGAAUUCGCUUCCUUACAUCCUCCCCUCCUUAAAAGGAGUUUCAUCCUUGAAACUAACUCAAUUCUUACUUUAACCUACAUUCUUACCUCACUCCUCGAAUA
rnacentral:lncRNA from 1 species